rnacentral:miRNA from 1 species
UCCCUCCUCCGUGGCUCGCAUAGCAGGAGAAGAGCCGCUGAGUGGGGAGGAGAGAGGGACAGAGAGCCUGCUUCUUUAAAGGAGCAAAGCGGGAGAGGAGAGGAGCCGCUUACAUGAGUGUAAGCGGCUCCUGUCCGGUUGGUUCCUUUAAAGCAAGCAGGCUCUCUGUCCCUCUCUCCUCCCCACUCAGCUCGGUAAUUUUCAGCUCGCUAAGCGGGGGGU